rnacentral:tRNA from 2 species
GGGCGAUUAACUCAGCGGUGAGAGUGCCACCUUCACACGGUGGAAGUCACAGGUUCAAAUCCUGUAUCGCCCA